GGCCCGUUUGUUCAUUUACCUGGAGUUAAAACAGGGCUCUGACUUGCUGCUUACAGAGGGCCGAUAAGAACGAUUAAUAUUUAACAUUCCCCAGCCUGCUUACGUGAAAUGGCUCAAAGGAGACACCCAUAAGAAUGUUGCAGCCUGAAUCAGCAACGCUGGAAAUGGGUGCUUAUUUUCCCCACCAGAAGGCAUGUCGCACAGCACUGCCACAUGUGUUCCCCUUGCAGCAGUGACCGUGUUGCAUCAGUUGCAUACCUCAGCUCAGCGCCUUGCUGAGAGCCCGGGCACUGCAGUGAUAGUUUCACUCCAUAGGCACAAAGAACAGUGCAGUGUCCAUAAAACUCAACAGCCAAAGCAGAACAAACCCCCAUAGACCGAGCCUGCUCACAGAUGUUGGAGGUGCACUGAGUUUUGCUAGAGAACAGGCAUCAUCAAACACCACUAUGGCAAAUGAAACCCUCUCACACGAAUUAGCAACAGAGCAGAGCUGACAAGUCCUGCAGAUGUAGCACCUGCAGUAAUGAUCGAAUCAAAGAGAAGCCUUGCUCUCGAUGCAUUUCAGACUGAGUAAUCUUUAACAAACUCUGGAGGAAGGGUCCAUUCUGACCCCGAAGCAGCACACUGAGUCUGUUCAUCUCGCAGAGCAGCCACAAGUGCCACCUUUGUACACUGCCAUGCAGGUUAAGGGCAGCUGCAGAGGACACUGCCUGAAAGUAAGCUGAAAAAAAAACAUCAGCUAAAGUCAGGAGGAAACAACCUGCUCUGCACUGGGGACAAAACCAGGCUUGGUACAUGUGGCAUGGUUUUUCAUUUCCAGUCAUAAUAAACUUCCUCAGAAGAAAAGCAAGUUUUGAAGAGUAUUCUAGGAGCAGCAGCAUCUGAAAUGCCAACUUUUCUGCUCUCCAGACGUGGUUCUUCAGAACAAUUUGUUGUAGGCAUUUGUGACAGAGCCGUCCCUUGCACGACAGAGGACACAGCACACUCCACAGCAGGACACAUCUGUUGUUUGUCCUCAAUCCAUGUCAGAGAGUGACAAACUCAGUCUCCUGGUUCAGAGAUAUGCACCCUUAAGUAGCGGUCCUCAAAACUCCAUACAGGCUAUAGGAGCUCCUCCACAAAACCCAUGUGAAUCCAGCCUCUUCAGCUUCACCACAAGCAAGACUGCUUUCACACAGAGAAAGCCUUGAUGCCUGCAUGGAGGUCUGAAACUCUACAGCUGUCCUGUAACACAUCAGUGAGAGGUUUCCAGGCAAGGAGGACUCACUAACAGCAGAGACGACCCCUUGUCGUCUCAACUGCUCAACUACUCAACUACUCAACUACUCAACUACUCAACUACUCAACUACUCAACUCACUCAACUAAUGAGGCUCCAGGUCAGUGUUCCUGUUUCAAGAACAGCUAAGUACACAUGCUGCAAAUGAUGGCAAAAAGGCCAGAUGGGUCCUUAGCAAAGCCCAGGCCUCCUGGACCUUGUGCAUUGCUGGGAUAUAAAUGCCUAAGCCUCGCUCGUCAACACUGGCUUUGGAAUUGCACCUCAACCAAUUGCUUUGGGAGCUCCACUGCAGGCUGCUUUGUUAGUGGACUGCAAACACACAGAUUGCCAGGAGCUGAACUCAAGAAAGUUGCACUAUUCUGCCCUGAAUAGCCUUGCUAGGAAAGCCUUCCUGCAGUAUUAACCACAAGAAAUGUCCAAAGUGCAGCACCCAGCCUACCUCACUGCCCAGGCAAUGUAAGACCAACUCUGAUUCAGUUCACAUCGCACUUACUUAUUUUUCCACCCUCAGCAAUUUUAUGUAUAUUUCCAGGCAUUAAGAUGAAGGGAAGCAAGUUUUAUGGCAAUUUACCUCAAAUCCAGCUCAUUUUCUACCCAUCUUUCUAACCACGUAUGUCCAUUCUAUAAGCAGCAUCAAAUCUGAUACAUGGCAAGGGAACAAUAACUCCUGCAAUUGUAAUUGCUGAGUACUGGCAUUACUGAGCGUUCACGUUACAAUUGAAGAUUAGAAGCCUACAACAAGUCUUUCCUGUCUCACCAACUGCAAGCUUCCUCGACCUGAGUCAGUCCAGAAGAGCAGUUUUGGGUAGUCUAAUGCUGUCACUAUUUCAUACUCAGCACACUGUGUAACCUCCAAUUAACACUGAGUGUUCUGAAGACCUAUCCACCUUGGAUCCAAGGACUGAAGCUUAUAGAAAGGUCUCUGAGCCACUCUCACGCUGGCUAAUAUUGAAGACUUACUCAUUUUCACUUUGUCCCAACAAGUGUAUAACACACAAAUCUAUUUUCAGCAGCCAGUGGAUUCAUAAUAGGUUUCAAACUGAAAACCAGCUUUUGCUUUCCGAAAGAACAUCCUUCCCACAGCAGUCACCACUUACAAAUACAACCUACUUCUUUUCUUCCAAGAGCUCUUCAACUCUUUUCACAGGAUGAGCGUUAGUCCUAUUUCCUCAGUAGAAAUCUCUUAGCACACAAAGAGAGUCGUGAUGCCUGACUCUCAUCACCUUCACUCAUCUGAGCAAUCAGAAUCAGCUGCACCCAGAACUCCUGUAUCCUCCCCUGCAGACAUACUCCAACAGGAAUGCAACUACCCGAAGAGACAAACAAGCAAAAAGAAACAUGGAUUAUUUACCUGUGGUCCUGAAAACAGGACUUUGCGGCAGCUGUUCAGUAGAGUUAUGACAGCUAGGCCUAGAACAGCCAUGUGAGACUCAACUUCUUGCUGCAUGGGACAGUAAAUGAAUUUGUAACCUGAAGGAUCACUACUGUGCAGUAAGACUAAAUAUGAUGUUUAUGGAAUGUUUGCAUUUAGCUAGUGAGCUGUCUGCAGUUUUCAUGUCAAAUGAUCAAGACUUCUUGAUUUUGUCAAAAAUCAAAAGACUUUUUGUCUUCAAAGCAUUGAUAUUACUAAUUAUGACAGAUAGAGAAGAACAAGGGUAAAUAAGAGCAGGACAGAGGGAAAUGGUUUGAAGUUGAGGGAUGGAAGAUUGAGGCUGGACGUCAGGGGAAGUUCUGUGCUAUGAGAGUGGUGAGGUGCUGGAACAGCUGCCCAGAGAGGCUGUGAUGCCCCGUCCAUCCCUGGAGGUGUUCAAGGCCAGGUUGGAUGGGGCCCUGGGCAGCCUGCGCUGCUGUGAAAUGUGGAGGUUGGUGGCCCUGCGUGUGGCAGGGGGUUGGAGCUUCGUGAUCCUUGAGCUCCCUUCCAACCCUGGCCAUUCUGUGAUUGUAUGAAAAAAUAAGAGAGAAAAAAGCAACUCCUAAGCUGUAUUCAGUAUCCUUUUCCUGGCCACCCCUUGGCUCAGUGCACUCCUUGUACAUAGCCCUACACAAAAGGAAUUCUUUUUCCCAUCAUCAUCAACGUGGCCAAACUGACGGCACAAGAACUGGUCAUCUUUUCAACACAGAAAUACCAAAUCGUUGUUUUCCUGAUUUUUUAGCCCGAACCUUCUAAGCCCGAAAUUGUCCUUUAUAGAAAGACAAAAAGAAGAAAGAUUACAUCAAAGCCCACGCCAAAUUCUUUCAAAAUGUACUAGCAGAAAAGUUUCACCUGAAGCACAGCACAUUGUAAGCAUUCACACCCAGAAUGAACUUCACCACUUGUGGAAAAGUUUGAGCAAAUAGCAGUUAUGAGCAGAGGAGCUGGCAUGAGCCGUGUUUUCAUCUCUUUGAAUUCGUUGUCUAUUUCCUUUUUGUUUCUUUGCCUUCUUUUUAUGUAGGUGGCAUUGGCUGAGCAAAAGUUUGGCUUAUGCUGUCAAGUCCUGAAGAUUAACUACUCCUGGGAUUUGGACUCCUAAGUGACUUAGAGCUGUAGUUCUGAAAUAAUUAUCUCAUACUUUGCCCAAGGAGGCUGUGGAUGCCCCAUCCCUGCAGGCAAUCAGAGCCAGGCUGGAUGUGAUUCUCGACAGCCUGCUCUGCUGGUUGUCAACCUUGAACAUAGCAGGGGGUUCUAACUGGAUGGGCACUGUGGUCUUUUUCAACCCAGGCCAUUCUAUGAUUCCAUGUCUCUAUGACUUACAGAUCUAAGGUUAAACUUUCUGCAUCCAGUGUAUCUGAAAGGGGUGGUACAAGGAGUGGAAAACCUCAUGGCACGAUGACUAAAUUCCAUACAGUUAAGGACUGGCAGAGCAAAAGAAAUCAUAUAGCAGGACAAUGAACUGAUACCCCAGUUCAGAAAAGACGUAGAGAGGGAAGCCUAUGGACCUCCUGUGCCAUCCAGGAAGGGAGAGAGGAUCUGCACGCACAGAGAUUAUUUUAAUUCUAUCCACAGCCAUUUUGCUCAGGAAGCAGACAGAUUUUAAGGACAGUACAUUCAUGCUUUACGCCUUUAACCUGAAGAGAAUCCUUAGCCUUCUGUAUUCAUGCCUGACCUGUCAGAUUUAACGGGGAAUGCCAGGAUGAUCCAGAACUGAUGAAAUGAAUUUGAUGAUUGGGAAAUUCAAAUCAAUUUCGUUUACUGAGCCCGAGAAGUAAUCAGGAGAGAUCAUGGCUUCCAGGUUAAAUACCUUUGCUCUACUUUAUACUGCUUUAAGUUAAUCUUUCUAGUAGUCAGAAUGACCAGAACAGGUAAUCUUUAACCCCUACCAUUGACUAAGAAAGGUCAUGUCAUUUUCACUGCUGCGAUAUAAGUUGCCCUAGCUCUACAUGCACUUCACUUCUUGUCUUUUGUACCACAGUGGUGAUGCUGGUAAAGCAAACGUCCUUAAACGUUCAUGAAGUUUGUUGCCCCUUGAAUACUGUAAGAAUUUCUGUUAGAAAGAUAAACAAACACCGUUGUUGCCCACUUUCAAGCCAAGAAUUCCUGUAGCAAUGUUUAUAUAUGGUCAUAUCCAACAGAGACGAAGAUCAGCAUAGCUAUGGUGAAGUGAAUAGCUUACACCAAAGGGAAGAUUCAGACAUAACUCAAUACAGGUCAGUUUUCAACAUCUUCACACAUCAAAGCGUCUGAUCUAAAAGUUGGACUGUGAUUAGUCUGAGUGUUUUAAACCAAGCUAUGCCCACACCUGGAAACUGGUGAGGUUCUCUACAGGUGGAUUGGCCAACUCUAUGUCAGCAUAAAACUGUGAGUAUUGAUUCUAUGCUCGUUAAAGAUAGAACUGGGGUGAAGAUCUGUACAGACACAGCUCAAAUUCUCACGUGUGAAUAACCCUCAUUGCAAUAGUUACGUUCUGAGGCUGGAGACCAAGGAAAGAGAAUUUCUGCAUAUCUGUUCCACAAGACUGCAAAAUGGGAUUCUCCUUGGGCUGGUCCCUCUGUAGUACCCUCUUACACCUCUACAUUUCACAGCAUCGUGUUUUUCAGGUCAGAAUCUCUCACAUUAAGGCCCUUCCCCUCCAAAGGCCCAGUUGUCCAUCGCUCAGAACUGCAGCAUUGUCCUGAGGCUUUUGUCAAGUAAGCUGCAUAGCGUGAAGUGUUUGGACAUUCCAGCAGGGAAGAGAAAGCUCUCACUUCCUCUUGCACAGCAUGGCCCUUUUUGUUGCUAUUUUUUUUUUCCUCAUGGAAAUUUUAUACUAUCCUGACUUUGAGCGUAGCAUGAAAAGAACAAAAACAGAAUCAGGGGAGCUCCUUUCAGGAUACGUAAAGGAAUUCUGAUUUGAAUGUCUCCAGUUUGAGAUAAAGCUUCAAAACAUACUUUUAAACAGUUUCUUACUGUUUGUUAAAACUUUCCAGCAUGAAAAAACUUGCCAGAAUGGAAAGCCCUGUUUAUGGAAGGGCUGCUCCAAAAGUAAUGCCUCCUGUGUUCUUACGUUGGUUCACAACAGUGGCAACAGCAACAUGAAAGGCAAGCCAUAUUCUGGAAGCCACAUACGGCUGUCACACCAUGAAAUAAAGAGCAUCUUGGUCAUCUCAUCCAUGUGAAUUGCCUAAUGGUGGUGACUAUGGUGAAAAAUACUGCUUUGUAGUUGAGAAUUUGCUCCAUCAAAUAGUGUUACUGUGCUCUUUGUGUCAGUUGUUGUUUCUCUGUAAAUAAAUAGGAGGCAUUACUUUCAGAGCAACCCACACACCUCUGCAUUAUCAUUCCUUCAAUUUGGGGGUUCUUUCCCUCUUUCUGUGUGGAAAUGGUUACAUUCCUCAGAGUCUGAUUUUGCACUUUGCAUCCUCUGUAUCUUAUAUGAGACAGGUGACAGGAAAGAGCCCUUGGAUGGGCCAAAUCUCAGUGUUCGCACAGUGGCACACAAAUCAACAGCAGCUGCAACAUAAAACAGAGUCAUCACAGACCUUUAGGUUGGAAAGGACGCUGGGGGGGGUCACAGGGCCCACUUCUCUGCUCUGAGCAAUGCCACCUUCGAAGCCAGAUUGAAAUUCAACGAUAGUUUUGAUUCGGGUCAUCCCUACGUAUUUUCAAGGCAAGAAUUUGGCCCUCGGAUGAACGCGCAGUGUGCGUUGCACUGUUUGUCCUUGUGUCCCCUUUGCUGACAUUUGAACAAAGCAGGUUUUCUGGUUUGGUUUGGUUUGUUUUUUUUUUUCUUUUUGUUUUUUUUUUUUUUUUCAGGAAUUUCCAAAUAAUUUGGCUUUUAAUUACAAAGAAUUGGACUAAAACCAGACUGCAACACUAAUGAAUGCUGCAGUGCUGCUUCAGAUUCUUAGCAGUGGCUCUGCAUGCAGUAGGCUGUUCUUCUCUUACAAUGGCAGGUUACCAUUUCAAGAAGAGCUUCUAUUCAGAAGCACAGAAACACUGAGCAAGUGUUGUUUCCCUGUGACUAAAUCCCAGGACAUGCUGGGGUUUCUCUGCUGUGUUUGGAGAACACGUGGCAUUCUGUUUUGCUUUUCGUGAAGGUGUUCUUGCUCUCUUGCUUUCAACAAGCAUAUUGACAGACCUCAUGUAGAUGCAUCUCUGCAUUUUCAGAACGACACGUGCUGUUUGCAGUAAUUUCUAAAUAAGUAUUUUCCCCAUACCCUGUUUUACUAUUUGAACAGACCAUGAACUACCACCACUACUACUGCUGCUGCUGCCACCAUUAAUUCCACCUUCUUUGUAUUUAUCCCAGGUGAGACAUUUUUCACUAAAAACAAGCAGUCUAUGACUGUGUUCUUACCAAACUCUUAAUUCAGUACCCUUCUCCAACACCCUGACAUUGAGGAUGAAGCACAUGCUUUCUUCUCUGGUCUCAUUCACUCUUCACUUUCCUACUACCUGUCACGUGUCACAUUAUUCACUUGUGCUUGCUGUUAAUUAAAAUCUUCAACAAAACUGGAAAUGGUACAGCAAUGCUGUUAUAUCAUAUGCAAUAGGUAACAACAUUGCUUUUACAACUAAGGUUAGAGAAACACGUCGCCACAAUGCCCUAAUUAUGAUAGAUUCUACAGUUCUUCAUAAGGGAAAAAAACUAUUCUUGAACUAUAAAGGCAGUGGUAAGUAUUCAUGGAAAGAGAGCUCUGAUUCCUGGAGUUCAUACGCACUGAAUGGUUUUGUCUUAUUCUGGCAGUGGUGAGGUCCUUAAGGACAGAAAAUGUAUGUGUGCUCUGUUUGAGGUCUGCCAGCGACUAAAGCUUUAAUGCAAGAAGAAUGCAAGGUAAAGAUUGCCUUCCACAUCUGAUGUUCCAGUGUUUUUCACCUGCCAAAUGGACACAUCCAUCCAAAAUAAGUAAAGCCACCCGAUUCUUUGCUUAUGUGAGGCGUUGUAUUGAUAAUUCCAAUAUUUUCUUUCCAAUAUCAAUGUUCCCCAAGUCUGCUACAAAAUAUUUAUAUUCUAGUGGAAUAGAAGCAUGUCAGUCAACACUAGCAGUGAAGCACCAGCUGGUUAACUCUCAGGAAGGUUACUGUACUGAAAAUGGGACCCUAGCUUACGUUCAGGUUCAGAUCCCAUAAUAGCCUACACCAAAAAUGUGCAAUUAAAAACACCUUAAAUGUGGAGGUUUAUGCAGUGGUCAGGCUGCUGAUUAUCUGGAUGAGGUCCUGAAGCCUGUGUGUAAUUCCUGAUUUAGCCAUCACUGUUCUUAGCUGAAGUCAGGCUUUUUUCCCAGGUCAUAGGGACGCUGGAAAAUGAAGCCCACAUUAAAAAAGGAGAGAAAAGGGAGCUUUCAGUGUUUUUUCCCCCAUUCCUUACUCCUUUUGAAUAAAGGUGAUCCUGGCUCUGUGCAGUGACAGCCAUCCCCCACCCCCCAGAUCAAUAUUUUAAUAUGACUUAUCAGAAAGAGAACAAAUUGUUUACUUUAAAACCUCAGGAUCCCAUAAAGGGCAAGGCAAAGGUGCCCCCUGGAAACAGAGGCCUUGAACAGCUGGCCACUGCUGUGAUCUCGUAAAAGAAAGCCAGGUUCUCCAGCCACUCGGGCACAGUGAUACUCAGCAACACGUCACACAGCAGCACCUGAGUUCUGACAGAUCCCAAUGGCACAACACAGGACCCCUGUCUGCGAUGGUCACUGUUUCUUCCAGUUAGUACCCAAAAUGUUCCUGCAGAGACAUCACACUAGGUGACAUGUUUUAUAGACUGAGGAGAAAGUGGAUGCAGAGAAGAGCAAGAUCUCCGAAGCCUCCAUGCUGUGUGCCUUUACUUCUACUACCAUGGGCUAACCAUCUGCUGCCAGAGCUGUGGAGUGUGACAAUGGUGUUUGUGUCCAAUCUAUCAAACGCCAUUAUCACACUAAAUAGCUACUGGUAGAUGAGACUUCGAGUCAGAGAAAUUAGUGAAUUAUAGCAAUACCUUUAUCUGCUGUACUGAGGAAUAAAUAAGCUUUCUUCAUUUCAGGAAGACUCCUUUUAUAAGUGGACCCACAGUUGUACGUGGGAAAAGCACACCCUGCCACGUGCCUUUCCAGAUCCCUAUUGCAGAACACACAAGAGUCACCUACAGGAAUCACACCAUCAGUGUUAGGAAUGUUGAUUUCACUGGAGUCAGUGCAGCUGUGGUUGCCUCUGGAAAACAAGGUUGGACUGAGAUUUUCCUGUUGGAUUGACCAUUGCUGUAGAGUACUGAAGCCAAUUACCUGGUGAACUCAAAGCCUGGUUCUUAUUUUUGCACCAAAGUAAAACACACGUGUUUCAAACAAUAAUUGGCUGAGAUGAUUGUGAUUUUCAAACAAAGCACCUUUCAAAAUUCUGAUAAAAAGCUUUUACAUCUA